UACGUAGGGUGCAGGCGUUAAUCGGAAUUACUGGGCGUAAAGCGUGCGCAGGCGGUUGUGCAAGACAGAUGUGAAAUCCCCGGGCUUAACCUGGGAACUGCAUUUGUGACUGCACGGCUAGAGUGUGUCAGAGGGGGGUAGAAUUCCACGUGUAGCAGUGAAAUGCGUAGAUAUGUGGAGGAAUACCGAUGGCGAAGGCAGCCCCCUGGGAUAACACUGACGCUCAUGCACGAAAGCGUGGGGAGCAAACAGG
rnacentral:rRNA from 1 species